UACGUAGGGGGCGAGCGUUGUCCGGAUUUAUUGGGCGUAAAGAGCGUGUAGGCGGCCAGGUAGGUCCGUUGUGAAAACUCGAGGCUCAACCUCGAGACGCCGAUGGAAACCAUCUGGCUAGAGUCCGGAAGAGGAGAGUGGAAUUCCUGGUGUAGCGGUGAAAUGCGCAGAUAUCAGGAAGAACACCCGUGGCUAGGGCGGCUCUCUAGUACGGUACUGACGCUGAGACGCGAAAGCGUGGGGAGCGAACAGG
rnacentral:rRNA from 1 species